rnacentral:lncRNA from 1 species
UUGUAUUUUCCUCCCAUAAUUAUGUAUAAACAUGUAUGGCCAAGCUAAUCGGCAAGUCUAUAAUUGAUGAGUACAAUAUCGGAAGAUUGAGUAUACGAUUUUCUUCCUCCAGGAUGAGUGUAUAAAAUAACAGUAUCUAGUCACUUCCAUGUGCAAUAUACAGUUACAAUGAGCUUGUCUGUGUGUUCAGUCAAGCACAUGCUAGCUAUUUAUAUUAUGGACUCUAGCCUUUUGCUGCAAAAAAAAAAAAAGUAAAAGUAAAAGCAUAUACAUUAGACCACAGAUUGAGUUCUGAAUCUACUCUUAUGUCUUGGCAAACAAAAUCCUGUACUUUCAGUUGUUCUGUCUUUGGCAAUGAUAUCUUUAGCAUGCAGACAAGGCUAUAGCUUAGAAACAAGAACAAGUUUUAAGUUAAAGGUUGAACAAUAGUUACCUGAAUCUUUCCGUGGCCGUGGGAGUACCACCCUUGAAUCUCAAAAAAUAGUUUAGGAUGGACUGCUAAUUUUCAAUCAAUAGGUGGAAGUCUCCAGAAAUUCCAAGAAUUAAAAUCCUCCUGAAGAAAACAGAAAAUUGUUGCGCAAGAGUAAGGUUUUGCUUUUCAGUCGGCAUUGGAUGUAUAUCAAGCAAGCAUUUACAUGGUAACACAUAUAGCACCAAAGAAUACGGGAUACAAUCAAGCAACACUCUGAUUAAGUUGUGUUGAACUGUGUGUGACUUUCUGAUCUAAAA